AACGAACGCUGGCGGCAGGCUUAACACAUGCAAGUCGAACGGGCGUAGCAAUACGUCAGUGGCGGACGGGUGAGUAACACGUGGGAAUGUGCCUUUCGGUUCGGAACAACUCGGGGAAACUCGUGCUAAUUCCGGAUACGCCCUUACGGGGAAAGAUUUAUCGCCGAAAGAUCAGCCCGCGUCCGAUUAGCUAGUUGGUGAGGUAAAGGCUCACCAAGGCACCGAUCGGUAGCUGGUUUGAGAGAACGACCAGCCACACUGGGACUGAGACACGGCCCAGACUCCUACGGGAGGCAGCAGUGGGGAAUCUUGGACAAUGGGCGCAAGCCUGAUCCAGCCAUGCCGCGUGAGUGAU
rnacentral:rRNA from 1 species